rnacentral:rRNA from 1 species
CUACGGGCGGCUGCAGUGGGGAAUAUUGCACAAUGGAGGAAACUCUGAUGCAGCAACGCCGCGUGGAGGAUGACACAUUUCGGUGCGUAAACUCCUUUUAUAUGAGAAGAUAAUGACGGUAUCAUAUGAAUAAGCACCGGCUAACUCCGUGCCAGCAGCCGCGGUAAUACGGGGGGUGCAAGCGUUACUCGGAAUCACUGGGCGUAAAGAGCAUGUAGGCGGAUAGAAAAGUUGGAAGUGAAAUCCUGUGGCUUAACCAUAGAACUGCUUCCAAAACUCUCUAUCUAGAAUAUGGGAGAGGUAGAUGGAAUUUCUGGUGUAGGGGUAAAAUCCGUAGAGAUCAGAAGGAAUACCGAUUGCGAAGGCGAUCUACUGGAACAUUAUUGACGCUGAGAUGCGAAAGCGUGGGGAGCAAACAGGAUUAGAUACCCGCGUAGUC